rnacentral:rRNA from 1 species
UACAGAGGGGGCAAGCGUUGUCCGGACUUACUGGGUGUAAAGCGCAUGCAGGUGGCUGUGCAAGUGUGCUGUGAAAGCCCCGUGCUUAACACGGGGAGGCCAGUACAGACUGUACGGCUCGAGGACUGCAGAGGGUAGGGGAAUUGCUGGUGUAGUGGUGAAAUGCGUAGAGAUCCGGAGGAACCCCAGAGGCGAAGGCGGCGCCCUGGCUCGCAACUGACGCUCAGACACGACAGCAUGGGGAGCGAACGGG